rnacentral:lncRNA from 1 species
GUGCAGUUCUGAGAAGGGAUUCAGUGUGCCGUUGCUGGCUCUGAGAAGUAGGAGCCUUGUGCAAGGAUUCAGGAGAGGCCUCUAGAAACUGAGGAUGGCCCUCAACUGGCAAGCACAGGCAACUGAAUUCGGCCAGGCAUCUGGGUCCUGUGCUAGGGGCUAGGAAGACAAAGAGAAACAGAGUCACAUCCUCCCACAAAAAUCCAUGAGAUGUCGGAGAGCCGAACUUGUAAACAGCCAUCAUCAACACAAAGAAGGAUGCACUGAUGCUCUCUAGAGGCUCACAGGAAAUGAUUCAUGGGCAUAGAGGUGCUGUGACAGCAUCAAUCAGGCCUUGGCAGGCGAGGGAGCCCUCUGAAGAAGCGGCCAGUGGACAAGCUGAAGACAUGUUUACCCAUGUGUCAGAAGCACCUGGGGAGCUCUUUGAAAUUGCUGGGGCUGACCCCUGGCCACUGCUCUGCAUCAGAAUCCCCUGGAGGCUGGUGAAGCACGU